CCUACGGGAGGCAGCAGUGAGGAAUAUUGGUCAAUGGACGCAAGUCUGAACCAGCCAUGCCGCGUGCAGGAAGACGGCUCUAUGAGUUGUAAACUGCUUUUGUACGAGGGUAAACGCAGAUACGCGUAUCUGUCUGAAAGUAUCGUACGAAUAAGGAUCGGCCAACUCCGUGCCAACAGCCGCGGUAAUAAGGAGGAUUCAAGCGUUUUCCGGAUUUCUUGGGUUUAAAGGGUUCGUAGGCGGGCGGAUAAGUUAGAGGUGAAAUCCCGAGGCUCAACUUCGGAAUUGCCUCUGAUACUGUUCGGCUAGAGAGGAGGUGCGGUAGGCGGAAUGUAUGGUGUAGCGGUGAAAUGCUUAGAGAUCAUACAGAACCCCGAUUGCGAAGGCAGCUUACCAAGCUACUUCUGACGUUGAGGCACGAAAGCGUGGGGAGCAAACAGGAUUAGAUACCCUAGUAGUC
rnacentral:rRNA from 1 species